rnacentral:rRNA from 1 species
GACGAACCGUGCGAACGUUGUUCGGAAUCACUGGGCUUAAAGGGCGCGUAGGCGGGUGGGCAAGUCUGUGGUGAAAUCUUUCGGCUUAACCGGAAAAUAGCCUUGGAUACUGGUGGUCUCGAGGGAGGUAGGGGCCGUUGGAACUUCCGGUGGAGCGGUGAAAUGCGUUGAUAUCGGAAGGAACGCCGGUGGCGAAAGCGAACGGCUGGACCUCUUCUGACGCUGAGGCGCGAAAGCCAGGGGAGCAAACGGG